UGGGGAAUUUUGGACAAUGGGGGAAACCCUGAUCCAGCCAUCCUGCGUGUGCGAUGAAGGCCUUCGGGUUGUAAAGCACUUUUGGCAGGAAAGAAACGUCAUGGGUUAAUACCCCGUGAAACUGACGGUACCUGCAGAAUAAGCACCGGCUAACUACGUGCCAGCAGCCGCGGUAAUACGCAGGGUGCAAGCGUUAAUCGGAAUUACUGGGCGUAAAGCGUGCGCAGGCGGUUCGGAAAGAAAGAUGUGAAAUCCCAGAGCUCAACUUUGGAACUGCAUUUUUAACUACCGGGCUAGAGUGUGGCAGAGGGAGGUGGAAUUCCGCGUGUAGCAGUGAAAUGCGUAGAUAUGCGGAGGAACACCGAUGGCGAAGGCAGCCUCCUGGGAUAACACUGACGCUCAUGCACGAAAGCGUGGGGAGCAAACAGG
rnacentral:rRNA from 1 species